rnacentral:rRNA from 1 species
CCUACGGGGGGCAGCAGUGAGGAAUAUUGGUCAAUGGACGAGAGUCUGAACCAGCCAAGUAGCGUGAAGGAUGACUGCCCUAUGGGUUGUAAACUUCUUUUAUAUGGGAAUAAAAUGUUCCACGUGUGGGAUUUUGUAUGUACCAUAUGAAUAAGGAUCGGCUAACUCCGUGCCAGCAGCCGCGGUAAUACGGAGGAUCCGAGCGUUAUCCGGAUUUAUUGGGUUUAAAGGGAGCGUAGGUGGAUUGUUAAGUCAGUUGUGAAAGUUUGCGGCUCAACCGUAAAAUUGCAGUUGAAACUGGCAGUCUUGAGUACAGUAGAGGUGGGCGGAAUUCGUGGUGUAGCGGUGAAAUGCUUAGAUAUCACGAAGAACGCCGAUUGCGAAGGCAGUUCACUGGACUGCAACUGACACUGAGGCUCGAAAGUGUGGGUAUCAAACAGGAUUAGAUACCCCUGUAGUC